rnacentral:rRNA from 1 species
UACGGAGGGUGCAAGCGUUAUCCGGAUUUACUGGGUUUAAAGGGUGCGUAGGUGGGUAGAUAAGUCAGCGGUGAAAUCUCCAGGCUUAACUUGGAAACUGCCAUUGAUACUAUCUGUCUUGAAUAUCCUGGAGGUGAGCGGAAAUAUGUCAUGUAGCGGUGAAAUGCUUAGAUAUGACAUAGAACACCUAUUGCGAAGGCAGCUCACUACGGGAUUAUUGCA